rnacentral:rRNA from 1 species
CCUACGGGGGGCUGCAGUGGGGAAUAUUGGACAAUGGGCGCAAGCCUGAUCCAGCAAUGCCGCGUGUGUGAAGAAGGCCUGCGGGUUGUAAAGCACUUUAAGCCGGAAAGAAGGCUGCAAGGCUAAUAUCCUUGUAGAUUGACGUUACCGGCAGCAUAAGCACCGGCUAACUCCGUGCCAGCAGCCGCGGUAAUACGGACGGUGCGAGCGUUAAUCGGGCGUACGGGGGCGAAAGCGCGCGUCGGCUGUGAAAGCCCUGGGCUUAACCUGGGAACUGCAGUGGAAACUGGCGGGCUAGAGUAUGGUAGAGGAGGGUGGAAUUUCCGGUGUAGCAGUGAAAUGCGUAGAGAUCGGAAGGAACACCAGUGGCGAAGGCGGCUCUCUGGACCAAUACUGACGCUGAGGUGCGAAAGCGUGGGGAGCAAACAGGAUUAGAUACCCGGGUAGUC